rnacentral:rRNA from 1 species
UACGAAGGGGGCUAGCGUUGCUCGGAAUGACUGGGCGUAAAGGGCGCGUAGGCGGACGGCUUUGUCGGGCGUGAAAUUCCAGGGCUUAACCUUGGGGCUGCGUUCGAGACGGGUUGUCUAGAGUUUGGAAGAGGGUCGUGGAAUUCCCAGUGUAGAGGUGAAAUUCGUAGAUAUUGGGAAGAACACCGGUGGCGAAGGCGGCGACCUGGUCCUUGACUGACGCUGAGGCGCGAAAGCGUGGGUAGCAAACGGG